rnacentral:rRNA from 1 species
CGAAAGCGAGUCUGAAUAGGGCGUUUAAGUAGUAUGGAGUAGACCCGAAGCCUGGUGAUCUAUCCAUGGGCAGGGUGAAGUUCGAGUAAAAUCGAAUGGAGGCCCGAACCGGGUAGUGUUGAAAAACUAUCGGAUGACCUGUGGAUAGGGGUGAAAGGCCAAUCAAACCAGGCUAUAGCUGGUUCUCCCCGAAAUGUAUUUAGGUACAGCGUUAUGCGUUCAGUUGGGGGGGUAGAGCACUGAUAGGAUUAGGGGGCCCACCAGCCUACCAAACCCUGUCAAACUCCGAAUACCCUAACUCUAGAGCAUGGCAGUGAGACUGUGGGGGAUAAGCUCCAUUGUC